rnacentral:rRNA from 1 species
GUGGGGAAUAUUGCACAAUGGGCGAAAGCCUGAUGCAGCAACGCCGCGUGAAGGAUGAAGGCCUUUGGGUCGUAAACUUCUGUCCUUGGGGAAGAAAAAAAUGACGGUACCCCUGGAGGAAGUCCCGGCUAACUACGUGCCAGCAGCCGCGGUAAUACGUAGGGGGCGAGCGUUAUCCGGAAUUAUUGGGCGUAAAGAGUACGUAGGUGGUUUUUUAAGCGUAGGGUUUAAGGCGAUGGCUCAACUGUCGUUCGCCCUGUGAACUGGAAGACUUGAGUACAGGAGAGGAAAGCGGAAUUCCUAGUGUAGCGGUGAAAUGCAUAGAUAUUAGGAGGAACACCAGUGGCGAAGGCGGCUUUCUGGACUGUAACUGACACUGAGGUACGAAAGCGUGGGGAGCAAACAGGAUUAGAUACCCCAGUAGUCC